rnacentral:rRNA from 1 species
CCUACGGGGGGCAGCAGUGGGGAAUAUUGCACAAUGGGGGAAACCCUGAUGUAGCGACGCCGCGUGAGUGAAGAAGUAUUUCGGUAUGUAAAGCUCUAUCAGCAGGGAAGAAGAAAGACGGUACCUGACUAAGAAGCCCCGGCUAACUACGUGCCAGCAGCCGCGGUAAUACGUAGGGCGCAAGCGUUAUCCGGAUUGACUGGGUGUAAAGGGAACGUAGACGGUUGUGAAAGUAUGAAGUGAAAGCCCAGGGCUCAACCCUGGGACUGCUUUGGAGACUGGGGGGCUAGAGUGCUGGAGAGGGAAGUAGAAUUCCUGGUGUAGCGGUGAAAUGCGUAGAUAUUAGGAGGAAUACCAGUGGCGAAGGCGGCUUACUGGACAGUAACUGACGUUGAGGCGCGAAAGCGUGGGGAGCAAACAGGAUUAGAUACCCUUGUAGUC